rnacentral:rRNA from 1 species
GACGAACGCUGGCGGCAUGCUUAACACAUGCAAGUCGAACGGAAAGGCCCUGCUUUUGUGGGGUGCUCGAGUGGCGAACGGGUGAGUAACACGUGAGUAACCUGCCCUUGACUUUGGGAUAACUUCAGGAAACUGGGGCUAAUACCGGAUAGGAGCUCCUGCUGCAUGUUGGGGGUUGGAAAGUUUCGGCGGUUGGGGAUGGACUCGCGGCUUAUCAGCUUGUUGGUGGGGUAGUGGCUUACCAAGGCUUUGACGGGUAGCCGGCCUGAGAGGGUGACCGGCCACAUUGGGACUGAGAGACGGCCCAGACUCCUACGGGAGGCAGCAGUGGGGAAUAUUGCACAAUGGGCGGAAGCCAGAUGCAGCAACGCCGCGUGCGGGAUGACGGCCUUCGGGUUGUAAACCGCUUUCGCCUGUGACGAAGCGUGAGUGACGGUAAUGGGUAAAGAAGCACCGGCUAACUACGUG